rnacentral:rRNA from 1 species
GACGAACGCUGGCGGCGUGCUUAACACAUGCAAGUCGAACGGAAAGGCCCUGCUUUUGUGGGGUGCUCGAGUGGCGAACGGGUGAGUAACACGUGAGUAACCUGCCCUUGACUUUGGGAUAACUUCAGGAAACUGGGGCUAAUACCGGAUAGGAGCUCCUGCUGCAUGGUGGGGGUUGGAAAGUUUCGGCGGGUGGGGAUGGACUCGCGGCUUAUCAGCUUGUUGGUGGGGUAGUGGCUGACCAAGGCUUUGACGGGUAGCCGGCCUGAGAGGGUGACCGGCCACAUUGGGACUGAGAUACGGCCCAGAGUCCUACGGGAGGCAGCAGUGGGGAAUAUUGCACAAUGGGCGGAAGCCUGAUGCAGCAACGCCGCGUGCGGGAUGACGGCCUUCGGGGUGUAAACCGCUUUCGCCUGUGACGAAGCGUGAGUGACGGUAAUGGAUAAAGAAGCACCGGCUAACUACGUG